UACGGAGGGUGCAAGCGUUAUCCGGAUUCACUGGGUUUAAAGGGUGCGUAGGAGGACAGGGAAGUCCGUGGUGAAAUCCUAGAGCUUAACUCUAGAACUGCCGUGGAUACUCUCUGUCUUGAAUCCCGUGGAGAUGAGGCGGAAUAAUGUCAUGUAGCGGUGAAAAUGCUUAGAUAUGACAUAGAACACCAAUUGCGAAGGCAGCUCGUUACACGAAGAUUGACUCUGAGGCACGAAAGCGUGGGGAUCAAACAGG
rnacentral:rRNA from 1 species